rnacentral:rRNA from 1 species
UUGACUCUGGGAUAACCUCCGGAAACGGGAGCUAAUACCGGAUAUGACUUACGGAGGCAUCUCCUGUCCGUGGAAAAAAUUUCGGUCAGGGAUGGACUCGCGGCCUAUCGGGUCGUUGGUGAGGUGACGGCCCACCAAGCCUACCACGGGUAGCCGGGCUGAGAGGGUGACCGGCCACCCUGGGACUGAGACACGGACCAUACUCCUACGGGAGGCAGCAGGGGGGAAUAUUGCACAAUGGGCGAAAGCCUGAUGCAGCAACGCCGCUUGAGGGACGACGGCCUUCGGGUUGUAAACCUCUUUUAGUAGGGAAGAAGCGAAAGUGACGGUACCUGCAGAAAAAGCACCGGCUAACUACGUGCCAGCAGCCGCCGGAAUACUUAGGGUGCAAGCGUUGUCCGGAAUUAUUGGGCGUAAAGAGCUCGUAGGCGGUUUGUCGCGUCUGCUGUGAAAUCCCGAGGCUCAACCUCGGGACUGCAGUGGGUACGGGCAGACUAGAGUGCGGUAGGGGAGAAUGGAAUUCCUGGUGUAGCGGUGGAAUGCGCAGAUAUCAUGAGGAACACCGAUGGCGAACGCAGUUCUCUGGAGCAUAACUGACGCUGACGAUCGAAAGCGUGGGGAGCGAACAUGAUUAGAUACCCUGGUAGUCCACGCCGUACACGUUAGGCACUAGAUGUGGGGACCAUUCCACGGUCUCCGUGUCGCAGCUAAAGUAUUAAGUUCCCCGCCUGGGGAGUACGGGCGCAAGGC